rnacentral:rRNA from 1 species
AGAGUUUGAUCCUGGCUCAGGAUGAACGCUAGCGACAGGCUUAACACAUGCAAGUCGAGGGGCAGCACAGGUAGCAAUACCGGGUGGCGACCGGCGCACGGGUGAGUAACGCGUAUGCAACUUGCCUAUCAGAGGGGGAUAACCCGGCGAAAGUCGGACUAAUACCGCAUGAAGCAGGGAUCCCGCAUGGGAAUAUUUGCUAAAGAUUCAUCGCUGAUAGAUAGGCAUGCGUUCCAUUAGGCAGUUGGCGGGGUAACGGCCCACCAAACCGACGAUGGAUAGGGGUUCUGAGAGGAAGGUCCCCCACAUUGGUACUGAGACACGGACCAAACUCCUACGGGAGGCAGCAGUGAGGAAUAUUGGUCAAUGGCCGAGAGGCUGAACCAGCCAAGUCGCGUGAGGGAUGAAGGUUCUAUGGAUCGUAAACCUCUUUUAUAAGGGAAUAAAGUGCGGGACGUGUCCCGUUUUGUAUGUACCUUAUGAAUAAGGAUCGGCUAACUCCGUGCCAGCAGCCGCGGUAAUACGGAGGAUCCGAGCGUUAUCCGGAUUUAUUGGGUUUAAAGGGUGCGUAGGCGGCCUUUUAAGUCAGCGGUGAAAGUCUGUGGCUCAACCAUAGAAUUGCCGUUGAAACUGGGGGGCUUGAGUAUGUUUGAGGCAGGCGGAAUGCGUGGUGUAGCGGUGAAAUGCAUAGAUAUCACGCAGAACCCCGAUUGCGAAGGCAGCCUGCCAAGCCAUUACUGACGCUGAUGCACGAAAGCGUGGGGAUCAAACAGGAUUAGAUACCCUGGUAGUCCACGCAGUAAACGAUGAUCACUAGCUGUUUGCGAUACAUUGUAAGCGGCACAGCGAAAGCGUUAAGUGAUCCACCUGGGGAGUACGCCGGCAACGGUGAAACUCAAAGGAAUUGACGGGGGCCCGCACAAGCGGAGGAACAUGUGGUUUAAUUCGAUGAUACGCGAGGAACCUUACCCGGGCUUAAAUUGCAGAUGAAUUACGGUGAAAGCCGUAAGCCGCAAGGCAUCUGUGAAGGUGCUGCAUGGUUGUCGUCAGCUCGUGCCGUGAGGUGUCGGCUUAAGUGCCAUAACGAGCGCAACCCUUGCCACUAGUUACUAACAGGUGAUGCUGAGGACUCUGGUGGGACUGCCAGCGUAAGCUGCGAGGAAGGCGGGGAUGACGUCAAAUCAGCACGGCCCUUACAUCCGGGGCGACACACGUGUUACAAUGGCGUGGACAAAGGGAGGCCACCUGGCGACAGGGAGCGAAUCCCCAAACCACGUCUCAGUUCGGAUCGGAGUCUGCAACCCGACUCCGUGAAGCUGGAUUCGCUAGUAAUCGCGCAUCAGCCAUGGCGCGGUGAAUACGUUCCCGGGCCUUGUACACACCGCCCGUCAAGCCAUGGGAGCCGGGGGUACCUGAAGUGCGUAACCGCGAGGAGCGCCCUAGGGUAAAACUGGUGACUGGGGCUAAGUCGUAACAAGGUAGCCGUACCGGAAGGUGCGGCUG